UACGAAGGGGGCUAGCGUUGUUCGGAUUUACUGGGCGUAAAGCGCGUGUAGGCGGCCUUGUAAGUUGGGGGUGAAAUCCCGAGGCUCAACCCCGGAACUGCCUCCAAAACUACAAGUCUGGAGCAAGAUAGAGGCAAGUGGAAUUGCGAGUGUAGAGGUGAAAUUCGUAGAUAUUCGCAGGAACACCAGUGGCGAAGGCGACUUGCUGGAUCUUUGCUGACGCUGAGACGCGAAAGCGUGGGGAGCAAACAGG
rnacentral:rRNA from 1 species